GAGAAAGGGGAAGGGCUGAUGAUGGAGGCAGCAGAAUUUACUGGGGAAGAACUUUCCAAACUCAUUUAUCGAUCUGAGACGUGCCUAGAUUUCAAUGAGGACUACAUGAGAUGUCGUAUUUGGAUGUGGCUUUCAGCUGCAUAUGUGAAUAUGAAACUGACUUUGGGAGCCUUCUGAGAUUUACAAAACCAAAAGUAUGAAAAAGUAUGGGGACCAGCAGGCAAAGAUUCAGGGAUUGGCAUCAAUCCAUGGACCACCUUUUUGAGUACUGUUGCUUUAUGGCACUUCUAUUGCCUGGAACUAAAGCAGCAUACAAUAUAUUAAAAUCACAUAAACAACCAUCAGAAUACAUCAAUAAUAAAUAUAAAUAUUAUUCUGACGGAGUAGCUGGAAGAUGAAAUGCCAAGAGGCUGUGAGGAAAACUUCUGAGUUAGGAUCAAGGAGCUCAUAGUGGAUUAUAGGAAGAACAGACCAGAAAUACAGCCCUUGGUCAAAAAUGGGGACCAAGUGGAGCGAGAAGCCAGUUUUAAGUUCCUGGGUGUCACUGUGAAGGAGGAUCUGACCCAUACGGCAGAGACUGUACUACCCAAGACUCCUAAGGAACCACCAACUGAAUGAAAAACUGCUGGUGACUUUCUACCACUGCGCUAUAGAGAGUGUCCUAAUCUACUGCAUCUGUCCAUGGUUUGGUAGCUGUACAGUGGCAGAUAAGAUGCUCCAACGGGUCACCACUUCUGCACAGUGAAUCAUUGGUUGCUCUCUCCCCUCUUUGGAAGAACUUUAUAAUUCCCGCUGCCUUAAGAAAGCUCAUAGCAUUCUUAGGGAUCCGUCUCACCUGGCAUAUUUUUUUUAUUAUUGCCAAAUGGUAGAUGGUCCAGGGUGACAAAGAUGAGGGCAAACAAACUGAAGGAUAGCUUUUAUCCUAGAACUGUGGCUAUGUUGAACUCUGUGGUUUUGCACUGAUGUGGCAUGGGUGUGUUGUUUUGUGAUUGUGGAAAGGAAUACAUGUAAUUUCAUUGUUCAGUAGCACAAUGAUAAAUAAAGCUAUUCUAUUCUAGUAGAUAUUAGCAAAUAUGACUAAAUUAUUUCCUAUUACAAAUGCUGGCCAUUUAAUGAAGGGCCUUUUCUGAACAAAUGACAUGCCGUAAACAUAUAAAAGGAAAUUAAGAUGCAAGAGUUUAUUUGACUGUAAUGAAAUUAUGCAGUCAGCUCUGUUUUAAAAAUUAAUCAUCGUAUUUUCUGUGCCACUUAGAGCAAUCGAUCCUUCCUAAAAUAAACAGCUGGAUUCAUAUUCUAUUAUUCUGACAGUUCUCAAUAAAUCUUG